GGAGCAGGAGAAGGAGUAAGAUGUGUGGCUGAAAAGAUCCUGAGCAUCCAUCAACAACUGGCCUUUGAGGAUUUCAGCUGGGGGAACAGUGGAGAACCCCAGGAGAGGAGCAAUCUUACCUAGCAGAUCACAUAGUAGAGAUUGCUAUCUAAGAAGACCAAGGAGAUCAAGAUGGAUUCUGUGGUCUCUUCCAACUCUGAGAUUUAGCAACUUAAAAUCACUACGUAUUAUCAACAUUGCCCCCAUGCUGUCAGUGAAUUCCUCCUCUAGACACUGAAUUCAGAAAAACAAAGGUCUUGAAAAAAUCUCUUUUGUACAGUGGGGUAGCCCAGUUUAUGGGUGUCUGGGAGAAGCUGUGCAACCAUCCAUCCUUUAAGCAUUCUCCAGCAUGUCAUUCCUUAGAGGAAAAAAUAUUUUGAGAGAAGAGAUUCCAACAGUAUAGUAAUUGUCUCUUCUGAAAACCAUUUCUAAAUUACAUGGAUCUGUAGAAGUUUGGUUGCUAAUGGCAAAUAUUCCAUGAACUCAUGCUUUUAUUGGUUCACU
rnacentral:lncRNA from 1 species